CCUACGGGAGGCAGCAGUGGGGAAUCUUGCACAAUGGGGGAAACCCUGAUGCAGCAACGCCGCGUGAAGGAAGACGGUUUUCGGAUUGUAAACCUCUGUUCUUAGUGAAGAAUAAUGACGGUAGCUAAGGAGCAAGCCCCGGCGAACUACGUGCAAGCAGCCGCGGUAAUCCGUAGGUGGCAAGCGUUGUCCGGAAUUACUGGGUGUAAAGCGAGCGCAGGCGGGAAGCCAAGUCAGCUGUGAAAACUACGGGCUUAACUUGUAGACUGCAGUUGAAACUGGGUUACUUGAGUGAAGUAGAGGUGAGCGGAAUGCCGAGUGUAGCGGUGAAAUGCGUAGAUAUACGGAGGAACACCGGUGGCGAAGGCGGCCAACUGGUCUUUAACUGACGCUGAGGCUCGAAAGUGUGGGGAGCAAACAGGAUUAGAUACCCGUGUAGUC
rnacentral:rRNA from 1 species